GAGGUAGAGGCGCAAAUUAUAUAAGUAUCUGGCAGGAGAAUGACACCUGGGAUUGCCUGAGAAAGGAUGGUUUGCCGAAGUAUAUAAAGAAGUCGGGCUUUAUAUUGCUGGCAUAUUACUAAAAAAGUAACAUGCUGUCAUGUAAUGAAUUACAUGGAGAACUACUGAU
rnacentral:ncRNA from 1 species